rnacentral:lncRNA from 1 species
UCCCUCCAACAUCAACAGAAGCUGCCAGCGAACCAAACCUCUAGCCGCUCCCGACUUUCGUCUUUGCAUCUUUCACCGACUCCACGGUUUCAGAUCUCCGGACGCUUUGAAGUGGCAAGUGAGUAAUCUCCGCCUGUGAGUAAUCUCUAUUUCUUUCCUCUCUGCAUGCAUUUUUAAUGGGUGUUAUUGCAAUUUUUUUUAUAAAUACGAUUAGUUUUUGGUGCGAUUGUUUCAGUUCUUGGUAAAUCGGCAUUUCGUUUCCUGCUGGUUAUGAUUUUUUUUCAUUAUUUGUUUGGUUGUUGAUCAUGAUAUAUGUAUAUAUAUAUGGUUUCGUUUCAUCGCACUCUUCCUUUUCUUCAUCGAUUAUUGCAGGUUCUUCUUCAUCGAUUAUUGCACUGUUCACUUAAUCGAUUUCCCUUUUCUCAAUACAGGUUCUUUGUUCCAACACUUCUUCAUCGCACUCUUCCCCGAUUUGCUCAUUACAGGUUAGUUUUCCAUAGGUAUUUUCAAUGUUUGUAUUACAUGUUUGAUUGAAAGGUUAGUUUUCCCCGAUUGCAUGUUUGUAUUGCUGUUUCUUUUCCUUUGUUAUGUAAUCCAAAGAGUUUUAAGGCAUAAGGGCAAGUAUGUAUUGAUGUUUAACUUCUGGUUUAACUUCUAAAAUAAAUUUGAUAGAAUUGUGUCUUGUGCACAAUGUCUUCUAAAAUCAGAGUCUGUAUUGAUGUUUAUACAUUGUGCUAAAAUAUUCGUAUGUUAUAUGAAGUUGUUUAAGCUAGGUUUAUUAUUUCAUAGGUACAGAACCAUUCAUUUUGCUUGCAAUAAGUUAAUAAGCUUCUACUUUAUGUAAUUUUCAUAUUCAAUGAGCUUUUGCUAGUAGCAUACUCAUGAAUGCAUGCAAGCUACAGCUCUAACUUUUUAAUAGUGAGAAUUUAUAAAUCUUAUUUAGCAAACUGAAUUAUUUAACUUAAAUGUUUACUCUUCUAGUAGGACAAGUAAUCAUAUAAAAUUCAUACAAAACAUAACAAUUUAACUGAUAAGAAGAAAUGCUGUAAAACUCUCAGCUUCUAAAAUCAGAGUCUGUAUUGAUGUUUAUACCUUGUGCGCUUCGUAAACGUCUGGUUUAACUUCUAAAAUUGUGUCUUGUGCACAAUGUCUUCUAAAAUCAGAGUCUGUAUUGAUGUUUAUAGAUUGUGCGUUUCGGAUUCCAUAAAUAUUGAAUGCCAGACUUACUGUAGACUUGAGGCAGUGAGCAAUGGAAAUUGUCUGCUGUUUUCAAUUCAGACAGUUUUUUGAUAGUCUGCUGUUUUUUGAUAGUCUGCUGUUUUUUGAAAGAGUUUACAAUGGAAAUUGUUGAUAGUGCUAUUUUUUCAAUUCAGAGAUUAGCUUCUCGUUGUUAGUGAGUAGAAGAUGAAACUGGAAAUUGUUGCAUUUGUUUUGAUAUUGUUCUUGAUUUGUUCUGGUUCCUGUUUGUUUUGGGGAUUAUUAAUUGCAAGUAUAGUAGGAUAUAGUUCUGUUAUGAUUUAGAUUUUGAAAUCAAAUGCUGUAAACGAGUUACUUGAGCUAUUAUUUAUAUUCGAUUAAGGGUUAAUUAUGUUGUUUUCUAUUAAAGACUCAAAUAAUUAUUGAAUUAUUUUACAAGGAUUUUUUUAGUUAAUAAGCUCUCUGUUUUUAAAUUAUGUAAAAACAAUCAAAUUUCAAUUUCGAUGCUUAUAUAAUGUUUAAAUUUAAGAUUAAAUCUUUAUAUUUUAAUUUUUAAUAUAAUUUGGUACAUCAAUAUUAGCCUAGAUACUUUAACCGAUUAAAAUGCUAACGUUAAUUUUUAAACUUGAUAAUAAUAUUAAUUUUUUUUGUUUAAUUCAAAUUCAUUAUAAUAUUAUUUUUAUAUAAUUAUGAAGUGAAUUUUUUUAAUUUCAAAAUAUCACAUUAACGAAUUUUAACUAUAACACAUGUCAAGAGCAGCAUUCAGAAGAAGUUGAAAGUGAAAUUAAGUCAAUUUAAAUAUCAAACCUACUUUUUUUCCCCAUAAAUUCAACUUUAGCACAAAAUAUCGAAAAAAGUGUAAUUAUUGUUUCUUUCACAAUCAUAAUUGCAAAUACAAUACUACAUUUUAAUAAUUAUUUGUAGAUGUAAAUGAUAUUAAAUUUACAAAAAACAGUUAUAUAUAUUUAUACAAAAUGAAAAUUAAAUUUAAAAUGUUAUAAAAGUUUUAAAACUUCAAUUUCAUUAUUAAACCAAAUCCUCAUUCUUUAUUUUAUUUGUUUUAAAAUUAGAAAACCUUAAUUAAACUAAUCAUCAAUAAAUAAACUAAUCAAUGUUCAAACUUUGAACAUGCUUUAUAAUUUUAAAUUAUAAUGAAUUUAGUUAUAAUCUAACAAAUACCAACAAUUAAUUUUAGGUCAAUUAUACAUAUACCUUUAAAUUUUAAUAUAUUUAAAAUGUAUUUAAAAAUAUUUUCUUUCUUUAUUGUUUGGGUGAUUGAUAAAGAAAUGAAAUUAAAGUUGCAACGAUAUCAUUUAAGUUCUACUUUUUUGUUUCAUAAAGAUUCUAAAUUUGUAUUGUUUAUUUUUAUUUGAUAAUGUGUAAUUGCAACUUCAAUUCUUUGAUAGUGUGUUCUAAUUUUAAUAUGUUGCAGUAAUGGCUCGUCUGCCUUUAAUUGAACAAAGUGUGAGGCGUAAAAGAAUUGGUAUUGCAUUGACAAUAUGGUUAGAAAUCUGUAGAAUUGCGAUUUGGUUCUUAUUUACAAUGGGUGCCAGCCUUAGCCUAUAUACUUAUAGACUAAGGAUUAGGUCCUAUACCUUAGAUUUUUAUGCAAAACGGGAUUAUGUGAAAAAGCUUGUAUAUGCUAGUGGCAAGACCUGUAUUGAACAAGUUAGGAUGAAUAGAACUGCCUUUUUUAAAUUAUGUGAGAUGUUAGAAUCAUUAGGGGGAUUGAAGUCGUCAAGAAACAUGCUUGUUGAUGAGCAAGUGGCAAUGUUUUUACAUAUCAUCUCCCAUCACUUAAAAAAUCGAGUUAUCAAGCAUCAUUUUAGAAGGUCCGGGGAAACUGUUAGCAGAGCAUUUCAUAGUGUUUUAAAUGCUGUUGUACGCUUACAAGAUGAGUUAUUUAAAAAGGCGGAGCCAAUUACAGCUGAUUCUUCUGACACAAGGUGGAAAUGGUUUAAGGUAUUGGACUGAGUUUUAUAUAUAGCUUGUACAACAUUUAGUUGAUUUAGAUUUAAAUUAGUAUUCUAACUCAAGGUUUUAUAUCAUGUGAUAUAGAAUUGCUUAGGUGUUCUUGAUGGAACCCACAUCAAGAUUAGGGUUCCAACAGUUGAUAAACCUAGAUAUCGAACGCUAAAAGGUGACAUAGCAACAAAUACGCUAGAUGUUUGUACACCUGAUAUGCAAUUUGUGUAACACCCCUUACCCGUAUCCAACACCGGAAUAGGGUACGAGGCAUUACCAAAACACAUACACUUGUAAACGUAUUUAACCGAGUUAUAAAAUUUCAACUAAAUUAAAACUUUCAAAAUAAUUAGAAUGCUUCUAUAACUUUUCACAAUAUAUCCUCAAAAUAUUAUAAUCAUAAUAAUUAGGGCCUACGAGACCCGGUACAUACUCAUACAAUUCAAUGCUUCAUUUCCAUUUCAUUUAAUUCGCAAUUUCUCAUGCUCACAAUUUAGAUCAUAUCACUAGCAAUUUCCAUUUAAUUCACGUACAAUUCAAUGUCACUAAGUGUAACACUAAUACGUAUUUACCAUUUAACUCAACGUUUAUCAAUCAUAUCAUUCAAUAACACAUUUAUGAAAUUCUUAAUUUUGCAAUGAAAAUAUCACUUUAGCUUAAAUAACAACAUCAUCCUGGUAUAAAUACACUACCACUUAUUCAUUUACUUUAAUUCAUUUGGGCCCAUUUGUCACUUACCAUCCUUAAUCAAAUUAGAGAACGGUUACGAAAAAUUGAGUAUUUCACUUUCACUUUGCCAUAGUAUAACUAUGGUCUUACGUAUGAUCACUUAUCACUUGUCCCUGAUCAGAUAAGUGUAGCCACUUAUCACUUUGUUUCUUGAUCAGAUAAGUGUAGCCACUUAUCACUUUGUCUCUUGAUCAGAUAAGUGUAGCUAAAGCUAUCACUUAUCACUUUUCACUUGUCACUUGUCACUUGAUCAGAUAAGUGUAGCCGAAACUAUCACUUAUCACUUUGUCUCUUGAUCAGAUAAGUAUAGCCGAAGCUAUCACUUAUCACUUUCCACUUGUCACUUGAUCAGAUAAGUGUAGCCGAAGCUAUCACUUAUCACUUUCCACUUGUCACUUGAUCAGAUAAGUGUAGCCGAAGCUAUCACCUAUCACUUUGUCACUUGAUCAGAAGUACUCAAAUCCGGCGUUCCGCUCAAUUUGAUCAUUUAUUCAAUUUUCGCAUUUUUAUUUUAUUCUCAUUUCAUCAAUAAAUAUAUCUCAUCAUACAUUACAUAACUCAUGAAAUUAACAUUUAAUCAUUAAAUUUCAUCUUACCACACUUGUUUCCUAUGCACAUCACACAAGAUAUAAACAUAUCAUUCAACCAUAGUCACAAGCUAGUAUAUUUAAACAUAACUCUUUUUGGAACUAAUCACAUGAUAAACCAUUCAUGAAAUUAUUUCAUGCCAAAUCAUAUACCGAAUAUACGAGACACACAUACUAUGAAACUUUAUUUUCACACAUGAGCUUAAACCAAAACCAAUAAUGCACAAAUAUAAGCAUUAUUUCUAUUUCAUCGUUUAUCAAUUAUAAUCAAGCAUAUGACCAAUUAUACACAAAUCAUUCAUAUACUUCCCAAUUUUUCUCCUCCUCCUCUCCAUUCCACAUCCUUAAUGUGUAUAACACACUUAAACAACAUUAGCUAUAAUUUCACUAUUCACUCACAUGUAUAUUCAAAGCUGUUUAUCCGAGUCAGAGUCACUAAAUUAUUUUUAUCCGGAGCUACAGAGCUCCAAAUUAAGAUCUGUUAAUUUUCCCUGAAACUAGACUCACAUACCUUCUUACCAUAAAAUUUUCAGAAUUUUUGGUUCGGCCAAAUAGUACAGUUUAUUCUUUAAAGUUUCCCCUGUUUUGCUGUCUGACAGUUCCAACCACUCUUCACUAAAAAUUAAUUAUCUCAUUGUACAGAAUUUGGAUGAUAUUUAUAUUGGUUUCUUCUGAAAAUAGACUCAUUAAGGAUUCUAAUCAUAUAAAUUAUAACUCAUAAUAAUUUUUGUACAAUUUUUAAUGAUUUUCCAAAUUCAGAACAAGGGAACCCGAAUUCAUUCUGACCUUGUCUCACAAAAUCUAUUAUAUCUCAUGAUUUACAAUUUCAUUACUUACACCGUUUCUUCUAUAAGAAACUAGACUCAAUAAGCUUUAAUUUCAUAUUUUAUUCACCCUCUAAUUCUAUUCCCACAAUUUUUGGUGAUUUUUUCAAAGUCAGACCACUGCUGCUGCCCAAAACUGUUUAGUGUAAUAUAUUGAUUACCAAUUUGACUCUAAACUUUUAAUACAUGAUAAUUUCGUCCCUAGGCUUGGAAAAUGAAAUUCUUGCAAUAUAAUUCUUGAUUCAAACCUAGUAUUUCUCAUACAUAUCAAUAACAGCCCAUAGAUUCCAUGAAAUUUUAGAAUUUCUCCAUGAUUUUAAUACUUUUCAAUUUAAUCCCUAAAACAUGUUUUCAUCUAAAAUUCUUUAAUAAAACACCUUUAAACAUCCAUUAAAAUCUAAAUUUCAUCACAAAAUAACAAAAAUCAUAUGAAAUUAUCAUUAGUAUCUUCCAAAACUUUCAACAAAAUGAGAAACUAGUAGAAUACUAAGUUGGACCUAAUUGUAAAAGUCUAAAAAUAUAAAAAUUUCAAGGACAAAGCAAGAAUUAAACUUACUUGAAGCCAAAAAUAUGGAAUACCAGCUCCAAACCCUCUUCCAUGGCUGUCUCCCACCGAAAUUUCAAGAAGAAAUGGUCUUGAAAUGCUUAAAAUAAA